rnacentral:rRNA from 1 species
UGGGGAAUCUUAGACAAUGGGCGCAAGCCUGAUCUAGCCAUGCCGCGUGAGUGAAGAAGGCCUUAGGGUCGUAAAGCUCUUUCGCUGGGGAAGAUAAUGACUGUACCCAGUAAAGAAACCCGCUACUCCGUGCCAGCAGCCGCGGUAAUACGGAGGGGGUUAGCGUUGUUCGGAAUUACUGGGCGUAAAGCGCGCGUAGGCGGAUUAGAAAGUUAGGGGUGAAAUCCCAGGGCUCAACCCUGGAACUGCCUCUAAAACUCCUAGUCUUGAGGUCGAGAGAGGUGAGUGGAAUUCCGAGUGUAGAGGUGAAAUUCGUAGAUAUUCGGAGGAACACCAGUGGCGAAGGCGGCUCACUUGGCUCGAUACUGACGCUGAGGUGCGAAAGCGUGGGGAGCAAACA